GGUUUGUAGCCAAAGCAGCUAGCUCAGGAAGCAGAGAGAGGUCAUGCUUACCCCAAGCGCCUGGAGAGAGGGCAGCCAUCUGCUGCCACGGGGACCUGGAGCGGUGGCCUAGGAGGUUGUGUGCAAGUGAUAAAGAAGAGACACCAUGCAAUUACCCAGCUGUACUUACACCAUUAGGGAAUUCUUUCUGGAUCACAGGAUCUGAUGGAAGCUCAUCUUCAAGACAGGUCUCAGCCCGUACCUGCAGUUCUGCAUCCAGAAGAACCUCCACAAUGACACAGUUCCUGCUGCUAGAUUAUUGCUGCACCCAAGACUUCUUAAAUUAGCCCCAGCUGGGCUAUCUGGGACCUACUGGCUGCCGGUGGAGAGCAGCAGGCUGCAUCAGGAACAGUCACAGCUCCUCCAUCACAUGCUGCUGAACUGAAAACCAGCACUCAGGCAAGAGAAGGGUGGUGGCAAACUCAGGUUCCCUUUCCUCUCAUAGGAAAGUAACCCUUACUCAGUUUCAGCUGGGUGAAAGCCAUGGUUUAACACCCACUUUGCAAAGAAACACCUACAUUUCUACAAACAAUAAUGGGCAAACUCCCUUUUAAAUUUGGAAGAAGACCCCAUAGUCAUCUGGAAGUAAACUAUUGUUUUUCACCACUUGUGGCUUCUACUUUCUCCUGAUAAAAAUCCUGGUGCAGGAGAAGAACUGAAAGAAUCCCAUUAUAAAGAGAUUUGGAAGGAAUGCUGGUUUUCACACCCAGUAAAUCAUGGAUUGUUUUUUUUUACUUAUAAAAAGGAACAAAAGGAGUCACUCUUAUGCUGUGCACUUCCUUAGUUUCCCUCUUCUGGAAAACCCUAUCAAAGAGGAAUGAAUGAUAUGCUUUAAGGGUGCACUUGAUUAGCAUCAUUAGAGAAGCAGUUCUGCCUUCCUGCUUUCUUCUGAGGCAGCGCCUAUCACCUGGCUUGGCCUGCCUUUGCACGUCACACUUUGGGCAGUGAGAAUGUGGACGAGCUGGAUACAGGAAAGACUGGAUCACCUUAUAUUCUAGUAACAUCCUGCCUUUCAACCUCCUUUCUAAAAGAAAGCAUACAAAUUGCUCCAUGUUUCCAGUGAAGUGUGGGAGGUGGAUGGACAAGCACACAGAGCUCACUGUGGAAGUACUGAAGUUGGGUAAGUUCUCCUUUUGCCUUCAUUGGUGUACUGUGUGACUUCAAAAAUAUGUAAGGAGUUGAUGGAGAAAGCAUCUGUGUACUUUACAUUAUUAGAAAAAUCUGUUUAUUAUACUUUGUACUGAGGUUGUUCCUAUUCUUGUACCUGGUGUGCCUGGUAAACAGUUUGAUUUUUGAUUGCCUUUUAGGCUUUUCAGAUGACCUACAUGGAGCUUUUAAUUUGAUUUCUACUGACUAAGGUGUUUCCUUAAGCUAUUUCCUGCUUUGUCACUCCAUAAAAGCAUAUAAAAUUCACCUACCUUGGAUUAUCACAGGUGCUAUAAACCAUCUAAGACUUCAUAAUAAAUGUGUUUCCCAGAUAGAGACGCGGGGUGGGGGGUGCUUGGUAUGUCUUACCUCUACCUAGAUGGAGAGCUAGUGCUGUGGACUGAGCCAGUGACAAAUGGCAAGAAAAAGAAAGAAUUACAGUGUGAUCCAGGGAUCAUUUCUUCACUAGUCAUACACCCAUUUCCCAUCUUUGUGUCUCAGCAUUUUGACUGCCUCCUUCACCCUUUAUAGCUCUUCCUCUGUAACGAACAUGGUCCUAUGCGUUACCCUCAAGGCAUUACUUCCUCCUUAAUGAAACGCCACACAUUCUUGUGCACAGUGCAGGAGCUUUGGUGGACUGCCAGCUCCACUUGCUGUGUGGAGCAGGGGAAAUGCACAGAAGCACAAUCCUUUUCAAGCCAUUCAUUCCCUACAGAACAUAUUAACAAGUCUGAGAGCAGCUGUGCUUGCUCCGGCUGUAGGGAUGGUACAUCUGACAAAAUGUAAGCAGCCUUUCCUGUGCCAUGAGGUUCAGACUGACUACAUAAUUACAGUUCCUUCUCUAGCCUCCAGUAAGAAGGAAACUUAAACAACAAGCCAGCAAAUUUUGGGAAGCUAUGAAAUUAGAGAAAUCAAAUGACUUUCAAAAUACUUUCUUAACUCUUUAUUUAUAACAACACACAUAAAACUGCAAAGAAUAAAGCAGAAAACUUGAGCUCCUGUGAAAGACAUUUUUGCACUGCAUACAUUGUUGAGUUAAUGUGGAAUACCUGUUUAAAUCAGCUCUUUCUGUAGUUCCCUUGCCAUACAUCUUAAUGUCAGCAACAUCUGCAAUGGAAUU